CCUACGGGGGGCAGCAGUGAGGAAUAUUUGUCAAUGGCCGCAGGGCUGAACCAGCCAAGUCGCGUGAGGGAUGACGGUCCUAUGGAUUGUAAACCUCUUUUGUCAGGGAGCAAAGGGCGCCACGUGUGGCGCUUUGCGAGUACCUGAAGAAAAAGCAUCGGCUAACUCCGUGCCAGCAGCCGCGGUAAUACGGAGGAUGCGAGCGUUAUCCGGAUUUAUUGGGUUUAAAGGGUGCGCAGGCGGAAUGUCAAGUCAGCGGUAAAAUUUCGGGGCUCAACCCCGUCGUGCCGUUGAAACUGGCGUUCUUGAGUGAGCGAGAAGUAUGCGGAAUGCGUGGUGUAGCGGUGAAAUGCAUAGAUAUCACGCAGAACUCCGAUUGCGAAGGCAGCAUACCGGCGCUCAACUGACGCUCAUGCACGAAAGCGUGGGUAUCGAACAGGAUUAGAUACCCCAGUAGUC
rnacentral:rRNA from 1 species